rnacentral:rRNA from 2 species
GGAUCGCGGCGACGCCGGCGGUUCGCCGCCGUUGUUGUUGUGAGAAGUUCAUUAAACCUUAUCAUUUAGAGGAAGGAGAAGUCGUAACAAGGUUUCCGUAGGUGAACCUGCGGAAGGAUCAUUG